GUCCAUUCUGGUCUUCCUGGAGCUGUCCCACACUGGCAUCAUUCUCAGAAUGGACUCGCAGGAAAAGUCCAUUCUGGAGUCAGGGAAUUCCUGGCAGGGUGCGGAGGCUCACUCACUGAGAGAAGCCCAGAGCGCAUUCAGUAAGCCUUGCAAAGUGUUUCUACAUCUGGAACACAUGCUCUGAGGAUGAAGGAUACAUUUGGAAAAUGCUGCAGGACUUCUCAGUGCCUGCAUCAUUGAAGUGUACGCUGGGAACCUGUGAGACCCGGGCAGAGUAUGCAACAUCUCCCAAAAUUGCUGCACCAUGGAACACUUUUUUUUUUUUUUUUUGCAGGACAUCUCUCAGGGCCAACGUUUUGGAAAUUAUAUUUUGAAACAAAAAU
rnacentral:lncRNA from 1 species